AAGGUUUUUCAAUGAGGCCAAGAAUAGUGGGAAAGCAAAGAAGGUCAACUGCUUCACAAAGGCUAGUGUCUCUUGAUUCUGUUGAGCACUCUUCUUCUAGCGCUUUUUCAUGUUGCCCUGAUUACCUACCUAUGUCUUGUAUAUUAUUGUCAGUGAUCAACAAAAGGUUGCUCCGAAGGCUCAUGAGUAGGGCAAGAGCAUAUUGCUGCUGCUAUUGUUGUUGCUAUAGUUUUGACGAUGAUGGCGCUCUAGGCAAGCAGCUCUGAUAUCAUGAUAAAAAGAAUAGAAGAUAAGAAGCUUUAUUGAAGUAACUUUAACUUGAAUGCAUGGGAGGAUUUUCCUCAAUAGAAUAGAGGAUUUUCCUCAACAGAAUAGAUAGGAAAUCUUAUUUUCUAUCAAUUCUGAGCAUUAAGUUUUGCACUGUGAUUGUCGUACUUAUAUCAGUCUACUUUUCGGUGGCAGAUCUAAUGGCUCUGCGAGCCGUAGAGGAAAGAGAGAUGCAAGAGAUGCCCUGUGAUGAUUGUUACUAUGACACAGCUUCACUUGUGGUCAAUUAUAGCCAUCGUGAUGCCAGGAGGAGCUCUGAUGUCUCUACAAUCCGAGAGUCAAUUAUCUUUUCACACAAUGAUUGAGGAAAACAUCUCUGGUUCAGGUGCCCCUUGUAUUGGUUCACCCUAAGGUUCUUCUCCAACACCUGCGAAGCUCAUAUACUUUAUCUUUGAGAAAGCCGUAGAUACUAGAAAGCAACUGCAAGUGCACCCACCUCUUUUACAUUUAUGCUUUAAUUAUAAAGUUAGUGAAAUCAGCUUUAGGCUGAUAGACUUUUGACAGACAAUUUUGAUCAGUGUUACAUGAGCCUUUGCAGAAUUCUAAAUGAUUUUGCAGGUAUUGCAAAUUGAUAGGAAUAAUCUUGUCCCAUACCGGUUCAUCU
rnacentral:lncRNA from 1 species